AAAAAAAAAAAAAAGGUUAGAAAAGGGAAAAUUUCUUCUCUUUUCCUUAAAAGUUUUCCCUUGCCUCGAAUAAAACAAAACGUCACGGGCAAAUGGCAAACUUUGUUUUAUUUUUCCUCCCUACAAUUUCCUUUCCUUUAGUACAAAAAUUAAAGAUUUUACGUUAAACAACAGAGAGGAAGAAGAAUAAGGGAGAAAGCUCCUCUCUUUUUUUUUCUGUCUCUGUCUCUCUCUCUCUCUCUCUCUUUUUGUUUUCCUCCUCGUCCUCCUCCUCCUCAACUCCUCAAUAAAGACUUUAAUAAGAGAUCGUGGCAGGAACCGAUGGGGGAAGGAAGAACUAGGAAUCCAGCAAGCCUAUCGAGCUCGGGCGUCGAAUACAGCUGCUGGUGCGGCGGCAUGGAAGAGUCCGAGUUUGAGGGAGACUGCUGCCCCCCCCCCUCGGAUUUAAGACGCAAGCGACCAGCGGCGGCAGCGCAUUAGUUGCUCUCAGGAUGAUGAGAUAUCCACUGAGACAAAUUGUGCUGCCGCAAUCGCAUUUUGCAGCGGGCUGAGGGGGAUUUCAUUUGGACCUAGUGAUGGUAUUCAACGAGGGUCCAUUUUUGCGAGGACCUAUGAUGUUGCCUGCAUAAGUGAACAAAGUGAGAUUGACAUCCUUCUCUGAUAACCAGUGAGGGACCGCAACACAUAUCGGGUUGAACUUGAAGUGUGUACAACUUGUCUUCGUCCUUGUAGUACAUCAUACAGACUUAACUACGAUAUACUCCACCAACUUUGGGGUGUUUCACAUUAUACAAUACUAUAACAGAUGAUAUCAGAGGCAUUAUUUAGAUUUA